AUAUAUGCAUUCGGCAACUUGAGUUCAGUGUCACAGUGCUGUUUUUUUUUUUUCAGUCCAAAGAGCCCCAAGCUGAUAAGACUGGAGAUUGAUCCUGAAGCUGAUUUGACAGACGAUUGCAUCAUCACAAUAUUGAAGGUUCAAUAUACAUGCAGUCAGCCUCUCAUAAGAUAAAGAACAAAUCCCAAGAUCCAAGGCUUGCUUCAAAGUUAAGAGACCAUUCUGUGCCACAAAGAAAUUGUUCAGGAAGAGGAGAAGUGGUGGAUAUUCAUUUUUGGUACGGUACAGUUCAAAGAGAUUUUCAAAAAAAGGGAGGACAACUGAAAAAAUUGAAAGAUACAGAAGGAAAAAGAACAAGGAAAUAUAUGGAAUAAUUAUGAAAUGGGGAGGAUGUACACAAUCUUGUCUGAAUUUGAGCUGUGAAAAUUUCCCAUAUUCUUAUUGUAUGCUGGAAUAAUCAAUAACUUGAUUUUUCAUAAAUUUACAAUAGAGAAUACAUGACAAAUGUUAUUGCUGACAUUUCAAUUUUGCUUUGGACA